ensembl:processed_transcript
UGAGCAGGAAUGGCAAUGUGGACCUCUGUGAUGGGACAACUGGUGGGAUCUCACAUCCAGUUCUGUGUCAAAGGAGGAUGAAGACUAAGGUGAGUACUGAAAUAGUCUAGUGAGAAGAUAGGUUGAAAGGACAGUGCCACAAUGAUGACAUCAUAUUUGCUACUCUUGACAGCUGGGGUGACGAUAGCUUUAAACCACCAUAAUUAAAACUGAGGCACACAGAAUAAUGAUUCGGGGCUAACUAUAGAGUAAGCAGUAUUUACAUAGACUUUUUUCCCCCAGGACUCAUGAGGAAGCUGGAUUACUGGACGAGAGCAAUGUUCUAGAAGGGAAGACCAGAAAAUGAGAUGGUGGAGUUUAAUAAGGCUGGACAGACAGUUUUGAAAGUAAGUAUUGAAAAAUGCUUGAAUCUAGGCCAAUAAAAAGGGACAUGCAGAGAUUUUAAAUCCAUCAAAACUCCAGCAUGCAUUGUCUUUGGGUGUUUAGAUAGGUGUAUUUUGCACAACACUCGGGGUUUUUGUAAUGAUGUUGAUCAAAUGUCUGAGCUGAAUGUAACUUGUAGACAAUUUCUAACACUGAAGAACCCUGUGGCAGGCAACUAAAAAUAGUUGAGUGAUGCUUAGCAUAUUUGUAAGAGGUAUUUUCUUUUAAUUCCAGUCACUGUGGUUGCAUGCUUUCAUUUGGAUGGCUUGCCUUGGGUAAGAAGCCAUUGGGGGCCUUGAGUUCAAGAUUAAUUAUAUCCAGCCAUUUGCAAUAUGUGAGAUUUAGCUUUUGGAACAUGCAUGUGUUACCAUCAGUACUAAAUUGCCCUAAAUUUUUUUCAGACACAAAUGGUUUGAAUAAAGAAAGGUAUUACACAUGGAUCCCCUCAGUUGAAGGCACUGAUGGGUCUUUCUGAAUUUCUGGUCCUUCUGAAUUUCAAGGGCUCCUGUGACAAGUAGACAUGGCAGUGACUUCACCAUUUUGUUUCUGAGGUGCCUGGAUGGAGACUCAAAUAGAAGAUGGUGUCAGAUACAUUGUGUUGUCAAGAUUUUACCAUUAAAGUGUGUUAUAAACAUGAA